GAUGAACGCUGACAGAAUGCUUAACACAUGCAAGUCAACUUGAACUUCGGUUUGGGUGGCGGACGGGUGAGUAACGCGUAAAGAACUUGCCUCACAGAUAGGGACAACAUUUGGAAACGAAUGCUAAUACCUGAUAUUAUGAUUAUAUGGCAUCGUAUAAUUAUGAAAGCUAUAUGCGCUGUGAGAGAGCUUUGCGUCCCAUUAGCUAGUUGGAGAGGUAACGGCUCACCAAGGCGAUGAUGGGUAGCCGGCCUGAGAGGGUGAUCGGCCACAAGGGGACUGAGACACGGCCCUUACUCCUACGGGAGACAGCAGUGGGGAAUAUUGGACAAUGGACCAAGAGUCUGAUCCAGCAAUUCUGUGUGCACGAUGAAGUUUUUCGGAAUGUAAAGUGCUUUCAGUUGGGAAGAAAAAAAUGACGGUACCAACAGAAGAAGUGACGGCUAAAUACGUG
rnacentral:rRNA from 1 species